AACCUAACCCUAAAUUAAGAAACGAUAAGAAAGCGACGAAAAUUGAGAAAUCACAUAGUCAGUCUAUAAUGUCUUAUAUCACAUCUCGGGUCACCAUCACAAAGACAGGUCGUUAUUCUCAAUCGCUGAGUCUCCUCAUUUUGGUAGGUAGACGCAAAAAGACAUGUUUUAAACCACAGGUUUUAGGGUGUCACCUUCUGCCGACUAAAUCGAAACCCUUGCCCAG
rnacentral:lncRNA from 1 species